rnacentral:rRNA from 1 species
AACGAACGCUGGCGGCAUGCCUAACACAUGCAAGUCGAACGAGACCUUCGGGUCUAGUGGCGCACGGGUGCGUAACGCGUGGGAACCUGCCCUUAGGUUCGGAAUAACUCCCCGAAAGGGGUGCUAAUAACGGAUAAUGUCUUCGGACCAAAGAUUUAUCGCCUUUGGAUGGGCCCGCGUUGGAUUAGCUAGUUGGUAGGGUAAAAGCCUACCAAGGCGACGAUCCAUAGCUGGUCUGAGAGGAUGAUCAGCCACACUGGGACUGAGACACGGCCCAGACUCCUACGGGAGGCAGCAGUGGGGAAUAUUGGACGAUGGGCGAAAGCCUGAUCCAGCAAUGCCGCGUGAGUGAUGAAGGCCUUAGGGUUGUAAAGCUCUUUUACCCGGGAUGAUAAUGACAGUACCGGGAGAAUAAGCUCCGGCUAACUCCGUG